rnacentral:RNase_P_RNA from 1 species
GGAGUCGGCCAGGCAGUCGCGUCAUCCGAAAGGAUGCCGAGGAAAGUCCGGGCUCCACAGGGCAAGGUGCCAGGUAACGCCUGGGCGGCGCGAGCCGACGGAAAGUGCAACAGAAAGAUACCGCCGAAGCUUCCCCGUGAAGCUGGCAAGGGUGAAAUGGUGCGGUAAGAGCGCACCGCGAGUCCGGUAACGGACCGGCACGGCAAACCCCACCUGGAGCAAGACCAAAUAGGGACCUCAUGACGCGGCCCGCGUCGGGUCCGGGUAGGUUGCUUGAGCGUCGCGGUGACGCGGCGCCUAGAAGAAUGACUGUCCACGACAGAACCCGGCUUACCGGCCGGCUCCGCCC